AUGGGCAAGCAUCCAAGGAAUCUAUUAGAUGGUAGUCUUUCUAACGGCGAACAAUCAAUGAUGGUGAAAGAUAUUCUGGACCAACGGCCGACAACACCAAUAACAACAGAAGAGAAUAACUUAGCUCUGCUCAUCAAGUUGGCCUUAUCUUGUUUGGAAUCUUCUCCCCAAGCAAGGCCAACCAUGCAGGAGGUAUACCAAACACUCAUCCAGCGACCAUCUUCUAGUUCUUGUUCUGUGCCUUUCAGCGCGCUUAUAUUACAGCAAGGGAUGCAUGCUGAUAUAAGGUCUGAAUCCUAG
rnacentral:rRNA from 1 species